ensembl:lncRNA novel transcript
GGCCAAACAACGCGGAUUGCAGUUCAUUUCAAAGGUUUUGGUAUCAGGAUGAUGCUGGCAUCAUAAAAUGAGUAUUUUUCUUCAGACUUCAGACUGCUGUGCUGGAAGCAAGAAUUUCAAGCAUUGGAUCUUAGCUUGCUGGGCUCCAUAGGGGUGGGAUCCACUGAGCUAGACCACUUGGCUCCCUGGCUUCAGCCCCCUUCCAGAUGUCCUUGGCGUGUACACCCUGUGGAAUCUGGUUCAUCUUCAAUCUGUCAGAAGGCAUCAGAGGUGGUUUUGACUCCUUAUGUCUUGGACCUGUGCACAAAAAGUGUAAAAUGGAUGGAACAUCAGACAGCUCAUUAUAGAGACAAGUAAGCUCCAGUUCCAAAGUUGGUUGACAGAACAAGUCAUGACCUUGUGUGGAGGAAAAUGAGAUCCCGAGUGAAGUCUACAAUGUCAUUGACUCUGAAGAAGGACUCAGAGACCCAUUGGUGUUUAAUGACCCUUACUGGCCUAUGCAAUGGAAACUGGUAAUGAAAACAUCCCCAUGACCAGAAAUCCUCAGGAAUAAUUCCUCUUGACUGCAGCCAAUGGGAACUCUAUAGAUUGGUUUGCUGCUCUCUUUCCUGAUAAAGAGAAGACUUUGAGAUGUGCAUGUUUAUGUUGGUAAAUAAAUUCUGGCAUGAAAUGAGAAUUCAGGAAUCAAGCCUAAGGCAUCAAAAACAGUAAUAAAGUGAAUUUGUAGCCAUAUUGUCUUUGGUGCUUCCAGGACAAAGUCUGCAUAUUUAAGGCUAAUGGUGCAGAUUUCUGAGUUUUAUGAAAUAUGUCAUCAUGUGAUGAUCUUGAGUGUGCCUUAAAAUUCCAUUUCAUGGAGAACUGUGCGUGGUUGAAUUUUGAUUGAUUACUCAAUUAACUGAUGUAUUGGUAGAGUGAUUAAGAAAGAAGACUUUGGGAUCAGACCAACCUGGUUUUGAAUUCAAGCUCAGCAACUUACUAGGUAAGGAGGAGAAAAGAAAGAAGGAAAAAUUGGAAAGAUAAAUGGGGUCUUUCCAGUGAAGCUGCAGUUAUGGCAUUAACCACCCAGUUGUUACCUACUUCUAGAUGAAAGCUCAAUUUUCCUACAUAAUUAAGAGUUUGGAAUUCGGGCAAUAUCAAGAACCACAUCUGUCCUGAAAUCA